GUCAAAUGUCUGAAAUAUAUCUUAGCCUAAAGCUUUACUUAGCUUCUUCUCUUUGUUUUCUAACAAUAUUUGUAUUAUCAUAUAUUUUGAUGGUUUGGAAAAAAAGAUAACUCAUACUUGAUGGUAUAAAGAUUAAGAAAAAAGUUAGCCUCAAUUUCUCCAAGGAUGUUGCGGUUUAAACCUAGAGUUAUCAUUUGUUGUUUAUGUAGUAAUGAGAAACUUAAGGUGUGAAACUCCUGCAGGGAGCAUUAUGCUGAACCAAGCAAGCAGUGAAGUAACUUGUGUUGGCAUGUCGUCAUUGGCUAAGAGGUGUGUUCUAGCUGUAUGAUACAUGGCUUACCAAAGAUUACUGGUUUCAGAGGCUCAAUAAGAUUUGUGGUGCAUUGCCAUUGUGUAUCACAUACAUGGUAUGUGUUAAAAAAGAUUCGAUUAGCUCGACAAACAGAACGUUGCAGGAGAUCUACUCAUCAAGAGGAAAGGAGAAUGAACGCAGCAGUAAGAAUUUAUACUCGAACCAACUUAAAUUGUACUCUGAGCAAGGACAAACAGGUGUACUCCACCUCUUGCGUGUUCAUUGUUUAAGUCCCCACGUGUCCACAACGGCUCGUUUGUCCUUUCAUCAGGCAUAUACCACUGAUCUCAUCUUUGAUUUCUUUAUUUCCCCUCAAUCCAGUGCCCACUUUUAAGAUAUCAUUCUCCACUUUCACUAUUCUUUAAUUUCUGUUGGCUUGGUAUAUUGGUUUGCACGUGCAUGUAUCUAUAUUUGAUUGUUGGUGGCUAAGGUAAGCUUUCGAUGUUGUUGAUUUUGGAACCUUUUCUCAUCUUCUCAAGUUAUUCAUGAUUAAUUCUCUGUUUUUUGGUUCUUAAUUUAGUUGGGAGUCAUCUUUUUCACGUUUUUCAUGUUUUCUUGGUGCGAUUUGAUAUUCAACUGUCGGAGAUACUUCACGAACCUUAUAGUUUACUUCUUCUUAAUUCAUUGUACCAAGAUUAGUCAACAUAUUUACAAAUCUGAGAGGGGAAAGUUUGAAGUCAAUUAUAUAUACAAAUCUGAGUUGGAAAAGUUUGAAUUUAACAAGUUGGGAGAUCCAUUAAGAAAAAAAUUGAAUCUUCUACACGGCUUUUAUUGCAACCUCCAUACCACCGCAUAGACUAAGGUGUUCGUAUCGUCAGUCCUGAUAAUUCUGAGGAAUAAUGAUACCUCGACUUGACAUGGGAAUGCAGAUAACCUUCUACACAUGGUGAUAAAGAUUUGGUUCAAGCAUGUAUCCUUUUGGAUAACUUCUUCAAUGUUAGAUUUUGUUCGGGUAAAUGAGCAUGCUCGUAAAGUCUUUGCAGGAAGGAUGGUGGAGAGCCCUCAGAGUUAAUUUUUGAAGCCAAGUCAUGAAAAUAUUUCGCUUUUGCAGUACAAUGAAAUUCUUGGUAAAUGGGCUUCAAAGACAAUUUAUAAAGCUUUUGAUGUGUAUGAAGGGAUCGAAGGACCAUGACAUCAGGUGAAGCGACCGACCCCUACGAGGGAGUCGAUAAGGUCAACAUAGUCAAGGUUUUCGGUAUGAUUCUAUAUAUCUAUUUACUAAAUUCUCGAGAAUGAAAUUAUACAGGGUAUUUUUGUAGAGAUGGACUCUUAGAAUCAUGGAUAUUGCCUUUUCUAUUUUCUUUUACCCUUUUCAUAUGUAAAUGAACUUGCAUUAGCAUUAAAAGAUAUAUUUGAAUUCUUUUCCCCGUGUCUGUGUAAUUGUUAAUGAAGUGAGAAUAUAACUAACUUUUA